rnacentral:rRNA from 1 species
AUUGAACGCUGGCGGCAUGCUUUACACAUGCAAGUCGAACGGUAACAGGUCUUCGGAUGCUGACGAGUGGCGAACGGGUGAGUAAUACAUCGGAACGUGCCUAGUAGUGGGGGAUAACUACUCGAAAGAGUAGCUAAUACCGCAUGAGAUCUACGGAUGAAAGCAGGGGACCUUCGGGCCUUGUGCUACUAGAGCGGCUGAUGGCAGAUUAGGUAGUUGGUGGGGUAAAGGCUUACCAAGCCUGCGAUCUGUAGCUGGUCUGAGAGGACGACCAGCCACACUGGGACUGAGACACGGCCCAGACUCCUACGGGAGGCAGCAGUGGGGAAUUUUGGACAAUGGGCGAAAACCUGAUCCAGCAAUGCCGCGUGCAGGAUGAAGGCCCUCGGGUUGUAAACUGCUUUUGUACGGAACGAAAAGCCUGGGGCUAAUAUCCCCGGGUCAUGACGGUACCGUAAGAAUAAGCACCGGCUAACUACGUG